rnacentral:rRNA from 1 species
GAUGAACGCUGGCGGCGUGCUUAACACAUGCAAGUCGAACGGAAAGGCUCCAGCUUGCUGGAGUACUCGAGUGGCGAACGGGUGAGUAACACGUGGGUAAUCUGCCCUGCACUCUCGGAUAAGCCUGGGAAACUGGGUCUAAUACUGGAUAUGAUCUUUCUCCUUAUGGGGUUUGGUGGAAAGUUUUUCGGUGUAGGAUGAGCCUGCGGCCUAUCAGCUUGUUGGUGGGGUGAUGGCCUACCAAGGCGACGCCGGGUAGCCGGCCUGAGCGGGUGAUCGGCGACAUUGGGACUGAGAGACGGCCCAGGCUCCUACGGGAGGCAGAAGGGGGAAAUAUUGCACAAUGGGCGGAAGCCUGAUGAAGCGACGCCGCGUGUGGGAAGACGGCCUUCGGGUUGUAAACCUCUUUCAGCAGGGACGAAGCGUAAGUGACGGUACCUGAAGAAGAAGCACCGGCUAACUAUGUG